rnacentral:tRNA from 1 species
GGGUGUAGCUCAGUGGUAGAGCACGUGCCUAGCAUGCUCAAGGUCCUGGGUUCAAUCCCCAGGACAUCCA